UUAAGCGACUAAGCGUACACGGUGGAUGCCCUGGCAGUCAGAGGCGAUGAAGGACGUGCUAAUCUGCGAAAAGCGUCGGUAAGGUGAUAUGAACCGUUAUAACCGGCGAUGUCCGAAUGGGGAAACCCAGUGCAAUUCGUUGCACUAUCGUUAACUGAAUACAUAGGUUAACGAGGCGAACCGGGGGAACUGAAACAUCUAAGUACCCCGAGGAAAAGAAAUCAACCGAGAUUCCCCCAGUAGCGGCGAGCGAACGGGGAGCAGCCCAGAGUCUGAAUCAGCUUGUGUGUUAGUGGAACGGUCUGGAAAGUCCGACGGUACAGGGUGAUAGUCCCGUACACCAAAAUGCACAGGCUGUGAACUCGAAGAGUAGGGCGGGACACGUGGUAUCCUGUCUGAAUAUGGGGGGACCAUCCUCCAAGGCUAAAUACUCCUGACUGACCGAUAGUGAACCAGUACCGUGAGGGAAAGGCGAAAAGAACCCCGGCGAGGGGAGUGAAAAAGAACCUGAAACCGUGUACGUACAAGCAGUGGGAGCACCUUCGGGUGUGACUGCGUACCUUUUGUAUAAUGGGUCAGCGACUUAUAUUCUGUAGCAAGGUUAACCGUAUAGGGGAGCCGCAGGGAAACCGAGUCUUAACUGGGCGUUAAGUUGCAGGGUAUAGACCCGAAACCCGGUGAUCUAGCCAUGGGCAGGUUGAAGGUUGGGUAACACUAACUGGAGGACCGAACCGACUAAUGUUGAAAAAUUAGCGGAUGACUUGUGGCUGGGGGUGAAAGGCCAAUCAAACCGGGAGAUAGCUGGUUCUCCCCGAAAGCUAUUUAGGUAGCGCCUCGUGAAUUCAUCUUCGGGGGUAGAGCACUGUUUCGGCUAGGGGGUCAUCCCGACUUACCAACCCGAUGCAAACUACGAAUACCGAAGAAUGUUAUCACGGGAGACACACGGCGGGUGCUAACGUCCGUCGUGAAGAGGGAAACAACCCAGACCGCCAGCUAAGGUCCCAAAGUCAUGGUUAAGUGGGAAACGAUGUGGGAAGGCACAGACAGCCAGGAUGUUGGCUUAGAAGCAGCCAUCAUUUAAAGAAAGCGUAAUAGCUCACUGGUCGAGUCGGCCUGCGCGGAAGAUGUAACGGGGCUAAACCAUGCACCGAAGCUGCGGCAGCGACACUAUGUGUUGUUGGGUAGGGGAGCGUUCUGUAAGCCUGCGAAGGUGUGCUGUGAGGCAUGCUGGAGGUAUCAGAAGUGCGAAUGCUGACAUAAGUAACGAUAAAGCGGGUGAAAAGCCCGCUCGCCGGAAGACCAAGGGUUCCUGUCCAACGUUAAUCGGGGCAGGGUGAGUCGACCCCUAAGGCGAGGCCGAAAGGCGUAGUCGAUGGGAAACAGGUUAAUAUUCCUGUACUUGGUGUUACUGCGAAGGGGGGACGGAGAAGGCUAUGUUAGCCGGGCGACGGUUGUCCCGGUUUAAGCAUGUAGGCUGGUUGUCCAGGCAAAUCCGGAUAAUCAAGGCUGAGGUGUGAUGACGAGGCACUACGGUGCUGAAGUAACAAAUGCCCUGCUUCCAGGAAAAGCCUCUAAGCAUCAGGUAACAUCAAAUCGUACCCCAAACCGACACAGGUGGUCAGGUAGAGAAUACCAAGGCGCUUGAGAGAACUCGGGUGAAGGAACUAGGCAAAAUGGUGCCGUAACUUCGGGAGAAGGCACGCUGGUGUGUAGGUGAAGCCCCUGCGGGUGGAGCUGAGACCAGUCGAAGAUACCAGCUGGCUGCAACUGUUUAUUAAAAACACAGCACUGUGCAAACACGAAAGUGGACGUAUACGGUGUGACGCCUGCCCGGUGCCGGAAGGUUAAUUGAUGGGGUUAUCCGUAAGGAGAAGCUCUUGAUCGAAGCCCCGGUAAACGGCGGCCGUAACUAUAACGGUCCUAAGGUAGCGAAAUUCCUUGUCGGGUAAGUUCCGACCUGCACGAAUGGCGUAAUGAUGGCCAGGCUGUCUCCACCCGAGACUCAGUGAAAUUGAACUCGCUGUGAAGAUGCAGUGUACCCGCGGCAAGACGGAAAGACCCCGUGAACCUUUACUAUAGCUUGACACUGAACAUUGAGCCUUGAUGUGUAGGAUAGGUGGGAGGCUUUGAAGCGUGGACGCCAGUCUGCGUGGAGCCAACCUUGAAAUACCACCCUUUAAUGUUUGAUGUUCUAACGUUGGCCCCUGACCGGGGUUGCGGACAGUGUCUGGUGGGUAGUUUGACUGGGGCGGUCUCCUCCCAAAGCGUAACGGAGGAGCACGAAGGUUAGCUAAUCCUGGUCGGACAUCAGGAGGUUAGUGCAAUGGCAUAAGCUAGCUUGACUGCGAGCGUGACGGCGCGAGCAGGUGCGAAAGCAGGUCAUAGUGAUCCGGUGGUUCUGAAUGGAAGGGCCAUCGCUCAACGGAUAAAAGGUACUCCGGGGAUAACAGGCUGAUACCGCCCAAGAGUUCAUAUCGACGGCGGUGUUUGGCACCUCGAUGUCGGCUCAUCACAUCCUGGGGCUGAAGUAGGUCCCAAGGGUAUGGCUGUUCGCCAUUUAAAGUGGUACGCGAGCUGGGUUUAGAACGUCGUGAGACAGUUCGGUCCCUAUCUGCCGUGGGCGCUGGAGAAUUGAGGGGGGCUGCUCCUAGUACGAGAGGACCGGAGUGGACGCAUCACUGGUGUUCGGGUUGUCAUGCCAAUGGCACUGCCCGGUAGCUAAAUGCGGAAGAGAUAAGUGCUGAAAGCAUCUAAGCACGAAACUUGCCCCGAGAUGAGUUCUCCCUGAGACUUUAAGUCUCCUGAAGGAACGUUGAAGACGACGACGUUGAUAGGCCGGGUGUGUAAGCGCAGCGAUGCGUUGAGCUAACCGGUACUAAUGAACCGUGAGGCUUAACCU
rnacentral:rRNA from 1 species